rnacentral:rRNA from 1 species
AUGGCCGAAUGCUUCGAUAGGGUGCUCAAAGGUGCACGUGGAUUACCCGUGACGGCAAUAGUUCAAUACACAUUUGACAAGAUGAAUGCGUACUUUCUAAAGUACUCGAUGGAAACUGAUGCACAGAUAGCGGGUGAGAACCCGCGCAAGUACAAGUACAAGUUCCUACCCAAGGUUGAUGAAUGGUUAGAAUUUCAAUCACGAAAGGCGGACUCAGAAGAAGCUAUAUUAUCUGACAACGAAGAGUGGAAGUACGAAGUGAAAGAGCCAGGAGGAACCACAAACGAUGGCCGGCAACAUGGAGGUCGGGCUUUCAAGGUGUCAUUAACACAAUGUGAUUGCUCUUGUGGGAGGCCAUUGUUGCUUCAUCUCCCAUGCUCACACUUGUAUACCGCCGGUCCCAUGCUUGCACCGUGA